UUCACGCCAGACGUGCCUAGAUUGAAACGAGCUGAGCGGGAGCUGGUCCGUGAGUAAAAUGUAUCACACCCGCGCUGCCUCGCGCUUCCAAAAAAGAAAAACCCAGCGCAGGGGGGAGAAAGCGCCAGCAGCGGCUCUGCAGGCUGGGGCUGGAGGAUCCGGUAAUGAAGUCUUUCUGGAAGGAUACAAGCUCCCUGGACCUAGAACAGUUCCUGAUACAGAGAGAAGUUCAACACAUAUUGUUGGACGAAUACAUCUAAUUCCAGCUCUCAAAGCCACCAUACUAGGCUGCUGCUGUCAACUCCUACCAAACUCACCAGACACCUCCAAGAUAGCGCAGUUACAGUGGCGUGGAAUAGAAUAAUCUGGGGCUGAAUCCUUCUCUACCUGUUUCUAAUUGUAUAACUGUGUAAGUUACUUAUCAUCUCUGAAUCUUUAUUCAAAGUGGGUAUAGUAAUCCUACUCUGUAAAGUUAUAGGAAUUAAAUGACAUAAUUUGUAUAAAAAACAGAACAGAGUGCUUCACCUACAGGGUGUGUCUAAUUGUUUCUUUUAUUCCUGAGUCUUACAUAAACUGUGAAUUUA
rnacentral:lncRNA from 1 species